AUUAUACAGUUAUUUUAUUUUUUUCUUGUAUUAGAUCAUCAUACAGUUAUGAAAUCAGACCUGGGCCACAAUGAUGUGACAUAAAGCUUCUCUGACUAUUGUGAGCAUAGUGUUCCUGUUUCAGCAAAGCAUUAUGGUCUGUGUAGUUCUGUGGAAGUUUUUGAAACUACACAAAGGUUCUGUAUCACAUGUGUAAGUAUAUUUGCUUUGUAUCUAUCAGGGUGAUUACAAUUAACUAAAACUAUCACUAACAAGCAUGAAAAAACAAUCAGUAAUAAAAGAGCAAUAAAAAUAGAAACACCAAAUUUCAAGAACACAGAAAUGAAAUCCAAACUGUGAUGUCUACUGCAAAGCUGACAAAAAAAAUAGAAUUACUGAGUCUGAAUGAGAGUUUAGAAGUGGAACUCUUCUCUGUUUGGCUGUUUUUAAAGAAAGAGCACGACUACAUUCAGAUUUCAAAACUGUAAUAACCCUGAAAUCUGCAUGAUCAGUCAGUGUAGUUUAAUUGGUGUUAAUUAAAUGAGGUUAACGGUUAAACAGUAAAUAAAUGGCAGCGCAUAUGAAGUGGGUGUAAUUUCUUGGUGGGCGUAACUUUGACUGCACAGAAAAAGGGAAGGAAACCAGUGUGUGAGAAUCAGUUAAAAACACUGAACACUCAUCCAUCCCUCACACACACUCUGCUCACACACUCUGCACUGUCCACUCAGGUACACAGCUGUGAGAAGACUUUACAGAAGAAUUGAAAGUGGAAUCAUGAGCUCUGAAUGUGGGACGUUACUCAUCAUCCUGCUGUGUAUUUCAGGCUGUCUGGGUGAGAGUUUCAGUGUGUCCUGCAGUCCUGAGACUAUCUGUGCUCUGCAGGGGUCAGAGGUCGAGCUGACAUGUUCUUACCCAAAAAACACCAAAACUGUCUUCUGGUUCAGCUUUAAACAGAAAGCUAA